rnacentral:sRNA from 1 species
GAGCUUGGAGAAGACCGGAAGUCCCUCCGCCUCCGCUCGCCCUCGUGCUCCCUUCAGCCCCUUCGCAGCUCCGUGCGCAAGGUCGUGUCCCGGAAGUGAAGGGGCCAUGUUGAUGGGUGACCCGGGGAGAGGUACCCGGCCAGAGGCGAGUCCUGCGGAGUGGUAGCGCGCGCGGCCUGCGGAUGAGGAACUGAGACAGUCACAGAGGGAUCACCCCCUGUGUUGAAGUUCUAUUACCGUUCAUUACGUGCACAGUUCUCAAAAUAAUCCUAUGUGUGUGACACCCAGCCCCUGCCAGUCCCCCAUGGCCCCGUGGAGCCGAGAGGCGGUGCUGAGUCUCUAUCGGGCUCUGUUGCGCCAGGGCCGACAGCUUCGCUACACUGAUCGAGACUUCUACUUUGCCUCCAUCCGCCGUGAAUUCCGAAAAAAUCAGAAGCUAGAGGACCCUGAGGCCCGGGAGAGGCAGCUGGAGAAGGGCCUGGUCUUUCUCAACGGCAAAUUGGGGAGGAUCAUUUAGGAUCCUCCAAGGGAAAGAGGACAAAGGUGCCUUCUGUAGACA